rnacentral:rRNA from 1 species
GUUAAAAAGCUCGUAGUUGGAUUUCUGCGGGGGCGGGGCGGCCGGAUGCUUAUAGCAUCUCGAGCUAGCACUUCCCCCGCAUCCUGCCGCGAACCGUGCUACCAUUAGUUUGGUGGCGCUGGGGAUCGGCUCGUUUACUUUGAGAAAAAUAGAGUGUUCAAAGCAGGCCACACGCCUUGAAUAAGUUAGCAUGGAAUAAUUAUAAAGGACUUCGGUUCUAUUUUGUUGGUGUUCGGGACUGAAGUAAUGAUUGAUAGGGACAGUUGGGGCGGUCAGUAUUCCAAAGCGAGAGGUGAAAUUCUUAGACCUCCGGAAGACUAACAGCUGCGAAAGCGUUCCGCAAGGAUGUUCCCUUUGAUCAA